AUGGCGGCUGGGAGACAUGGGAGUUCUCGUGAUAGCGAGUUCAGGGGCCGCGAGUCUGGUGUUGAGGUGUUGAGGCGGGAUUUUGCUCAUUCCAAGGAGGAGUAUGAUCGGAGCAGGAAUGGUGGUAAUUCUAAUAAUGAUGGAAGGGCUCAAGCUCGUGGGGUAAGAGAUCAGGGAAGGCUUAGACAGAAAGAUGUCAAGGAGAGGGAUGUUGUUAACGGUGGAUACAGGUCCUCUUCAAGUAGGAGUGAUUCAGGCAGCAGUGGUGGUGGUGGACAUGGGCCCCGUCCAUGUGGUUUUUCAGUUAGGGCUGUUGAUAGGGAGCCUGGUGAGUUGUCAAGUGAGAGUGGUUCUGAUGAUGCCAUUGAAGCUGAAUCACAGGUAAAAGAUAUUGAGGCCUCUGAGACUGUUGAGAAUGGGAUUCAUGCUUCCCCUUUGGUGAAGAAGAGGAAGUUUUCACCUAUAGUUUGGGAUAGAGAUGACAGGGACGUAAGUGAUGCAUCAAGAACAAGAAGUAGAAUUAGCACAACUGUGGCAGCUCUUCCUCCCCCACCACCACUGCCCAAGGUGUAUCGGCAGUCACCUAAUGUUGUUCCUGGUGGAGGCGUACAAAUAUCUCUGAUUGCGGAUGGUAAAAGCAAUGAUUUGCAAUUGUCUUCACCAGUAGAGCCUUCUGUAGCUUCUGGGGGUGCCCAAGAUUCUCUGUCGGAAUCCCCUUUGGGCAUGUCUUCUUCGCCAGUAAAGGAGCAGCAGUGGGGAAUUUAUCAGGUUGCAAAGCAGCUUGAAGAUGAUGAUUAUGUGCCAACUCGGAACAUUUCAUCUUCUCGAUGGGCAGCUGGAAACAAUUCUCCGGUGGAUGAAGGGGAAAUUGUGGAAGAGGAAAUGCCUAAAAGGAAGAAGAAAAUUAUGCAUAUAGAGUCCUUGGAUGCUGAAGUACGGAAAAAAUCUGUAACUCCCGAGGAAGGAGAGCCAAAGAGAGAAGGCUCUGAAGUAGCCAGGGCGAGGUCAUGUGAAUCUGAUGAACGAGGUGUGCCUACUAUGUCUUUGAGUGGGGAUGAUUACUCCGGUACUGAUUCGGAGAAGGAUUACAUGGACAUUGAUGAGGAACGCAAUAACAAUAAUAAUAGUCUUAGCCGGUCGGAUAACGAUACUGAGGAAGAAGAUGAUUCUCGUGCAACUCCAGAACCUCUGGCUCCUCCCCAAAGAAGCAUAAACAUGCUUCAGGGCUGUAGAAGUGUGGAUGAGUUUGAAAGACUAAAUAAGAUAGAUGAAGGAACAUAUGGUGUUGUAUAUAGAGCUAGAGAUAAGAAGACAGGAGAAAUUGUAGCCUUGAAAAAAGUGAAGAUGGAGAAAGAAAGAGAAGGUUUUCCAUUAACUUCUUUGAGGGAAAUAAACAUUCUCCUUUCCUUUCAUCACCCAUCAAUUGUGGAUGUUAAAGAAGUUGUUGUAGGGAGUAGCCUAGAUAGUAUUUUUAUGGUGAUGGAAUAUAUGGAACAUGAUCUGAAAGGACUCAUGGAGUCAAUGAAGCAGCCAUUUAGCCAGAGUGAGGUUAAAUGCCUUAUGCUUCAGCUCUUGGAGGGUGUGAAAUAUCUCCAUGAUAACUGGGUUCUCCAUCGAGAUAUGAAGACGUCAAAUCUGCUUUUAAACAACAGGGGUGAGUUGAAGAUUUGUGAUUUUGGGUUGGCUCGUCAGUAUGGCAGUCCGUUGAAACCUUACACACAUCUUGUGGUUACUCUUUGGUACAGGGCACCUGAACUCUUGCUGGGAGCGAGACAAUAUUCAACGGCAAUUGACAUGUGGUCACUCGGUUGUAUUAUGGCCGAAUUAUUAGCCAAGGAACCAUUGUUCAAUGGGAAAACCGAAUUUGAUCAACUCGACAAGAUUUUCCGAAGCCUUGGGACACCAAACGAAGCGAUUUGGCCUGGAUUUUCCAAGCUGCCAGGAGUCAAGGUCAAUUUCGUCAAACACCAGCUCCAGCUUUGGGUGAUCCUGGUCUGGCUGUAUAAUAUGCUGCGUAAGAAAUUCCCAGUGACCUCUUUCACUGGAUCCCCAGUUUUAUCUGAUGCAGGAUUUGACUUGUUGAACAAACUUCUAACUUAUGAUCCUGAGAAGCGGAUAACUGCUGAAGCUGCUCUUAACCAUGAGUGGUUUAAAGAAGUUCCUCUUCCAAAGUCUAAAGAUUUUAUGCCUACAUUUCCUGCUCAACAUGCUCAAGACAGGCGUCUUCGAAGAAUAAUGAAGAGUCCUGAUCCUUUGGAAGAGCAACGGAAAAGGGAGUUGCAGCAAGGGGAUUUAGGCGCUAGGGGUUUGUUUGGCUAAGGUGCUAAGCUUUACUGGCAGCGACGUUUCCUCCAUGCCUUAGUUUCUGCUGUUUCUGACAAUUGGACAUGGCUGAGGUGAGAGGCAUGUAUUGAAAGGAAGUUGCCAGUAUUCUUUACCAGACGAUCAUUCAUGCUGUUUUUUAGCAGGACAACUGAUGAUCUGGGUGGAGAAUCUAUUUGCCUCAUCCGUUCUAACCAGUGCAGGUUAACUUUGUUCAGCUUAGAAAAUCAUCUGUGACACUGCUUGUAUUGCAAGAGACCUGUGGUGUGAAGUGUGGAGAAGACGUUCUUAGCUUUUCACUGACGAAGAAUUUGACAGUAACCAAAAUACUUCCGAGUAUCAAAGCAAGCAGGUUGAGGAGGCUCCCUCAUACUGUGGAUUUUAUAGAACUUCCAAUUAGAUGUUCUCCGGGCUUGCCAGAGAUGAACAAUGGGCAAAAACAAGGUGAAAUGUCAUGAUCCAUGGGAUUUUCUGUGCUCUCUGUACGUAUGUAGCGGUGGAUACUUGCCUUCUGCUAACAGCUUUUCUACUAACAGUAAGUUUGCGAGGUUGGUGUACGCUUCUAUCCCAGCCUAAAUAAACAAAACGUGCGUUCGGAUAUCCUGUACAAUAUUUAAUACCAUGCAUAUCGAUUACGUUGGCAUGUCAUGUCAUUUUUUUUUCCCCUUUUUUCCUUCAGGGUAAGAUGGGUAAAAACUUGCAAGUGAAAAUUGUUUGGUAAAUUUUUUGAUGGUUAUUUUACUCUCUUUUUUAAUGUACCAUUCAAACAAGUCUCUUUUGAUUUGAGUUGAAGCAAAAAUGUUGAGAUUGAAGGUGUGCAUCGUCUGUUGGAGCAAAAAUGUUGUUGUAAAGCUCGUAAGUAAGGUGGAGGAGGAACCCCACCUCGUUAAUGGGCUGUCUCGACCACUCCACUCCACUCCACUCCCUUGAGGAGUCCACAGCUGUGGAGGAAUAAUGGCAAUUGAGUUUCAACGGUUGGCCUUCCGAGACACAAAGCUCUUAAUUUCUAUCCUGUUGACAUAGAUAUAUAUAUAUAUAUAUAAAUAAAU